rnacentral:rRNA from 1 species
AUUGAACGCUGGCGGCAAGCCUAACACAUGCAAGUCGAACGAGUGGCGGACGGGUGAGUAAUGUCUGGGAAACUGCCCGAUGGAGGGGGAUAACUACUGGAAACGGUAGCUAAUACCGCAUACCAUCGGAUGUGCCCAGAUGGGAUUAGCUAGUAGGUGGGGUAAAGGCUCACCUAGGCGACGAUCCCUAGCUGGUCUGAGCGGAUGAACAGCCACAGUGGGACUGAGACACGGUCCAGACUCCUACGGGAGUCAGCAGUGGGGAAUAUUGCACAAUGGGAGCAAGCCUGAUGCAGCCAUGCCGCGUGUAUGAAGAAGGCCUUCGGGUUGUAAAGUACUUUCAGCGGGGAGGCGUUACCCGCAGAAGAAGCACCGGCUAACUCCGUGCCAGCAGCCGCGGUAAUAC